CAAAGACAUGGUCCCGAUCUUUACAUCGGCUUUAACCUAAAUUACACAUGCAAGUAUCAGCACCCCGGUGAGUACGCCCCAAAUCCCCCUUAUCGGGGACAAGGAGCAGGAAUCAGGCACAAAUUAUUUAGCCCAAGACACCUAGCCUAGCCACACCCUCAAGGGGCCCCAGCAGUGAUAAAUAUUAAGCUAUAAGUGAAAACUUGACUUAGUUAAGGUUAUUUUUAGGGCCGGUCAAACUCGUGCCAGCAACCGCGGUUAAACGAGAGGCCCUAGUUGAUGAACCACGGCGUAAAGGGUGGUUAGGGGACAAAGUUAAUAAAGCCAAAUGACUCUUUAGCCGUUAUACGCUUUUAGAAGUCCGAAACCCAAACACGAAAGUAGCUUUAAAGAAUUUACCUGACCCCACGAAAACUGAGAAACAAACUGGGAUUAGAUACCCCACUAUGCUCAGUCAUAAACUAAGACAGCAAAUUACAACGAUGUCCGCCCGGAUAUUACAAGCACUAGCUUUAAACCCAAAGGACCUGACGGUGCCUUAGAUCCCCCUAGAGGAGCCUGUUCUAGAACCGAUUACCCCCGUUAAACCUCACCACUUCUGGCAAUAGCAGCCUAUAUACCACCGUCGCCAGUUUACCCUGUGAAGGCACAAAAGUAAGCAAAAUGGGUAACCCCCAGUACGUCAGGUCGAGGUGUAGCACACGAAGUGGGAAGAAAUGGGCUACAUUUUCUAACAUAGAAUAAACGAAUACGCAAUAUGAAAAUUAAUGCUUGAAGGAGGAUUUAGUAGUAAAAGGGAAAAAGAGAGUCCCUUUGAACCCGGCUCUAAGGCGCGUACACACCGCCCGUCACUCCCAUCAAGUCAUAACUCUUUAUAGUUAACAGACAGAUGGGAAAAGUCGUAACAAGGUAAGUGUACCGGAAGGUGCACUUGGAUAAAUAUA
rnacentral:ncRNA from 1 species